rnacentral:rRNA from 1 species
AGUGAACGCUGGCGGCAGGCCUAAUACAUGCAAGUCGAACGGCAGCACAGCAGAGCUUGCUCUGUGGGUGGCGAGUGGCGGACGGGUGAGGAAUACAUGGGAAUCUGCCCAGUCGUGGGGGAUAACGUAUGGAAACGUACGCUAAUACCGCAUGCGCCCUAAGGGGGAAAGCCGGGGACCGCAAGGCCUGGCGCGAUUGGAUGAGCCCAUGUUCGAUUAGCUAGUUGGCGGGGUAAAGGCCCACCAAGGCGACGAUCGAUAGCUGGUCUGAGAGGAUGAUCAGCCACACUGGAACUGAGACACGGUCCAGACUCCUACGGGAGGCAGCAGUAGGGAAUAUUGGACAAUGGGGGCGAACCCUGAUCCAGCCAUGCCGCGUGAGUGAAGAAGGCCCUCGGGUUGUAAAGCUCUUUUGUCCGGAAAGAAAAGCAAUCGGUUAAUACCCGGUUGUUCUGACGGUACCGGAAGAAUAAGCACCGGCUAACUUCGUGCCAGC